UUUCGGUUUUACUCGUCCGCUGCAAGUCAUGCUGAGUUUGUAAUUCGAUUCUGUCGGCAGUGGCAGUGGCAGUGGGGCGGUGUCAGUGGCGGUGCCUGUGUAGUGCUGUUCUCUUGCUCCGUGGCCAGUAAAUUGCAACUAGUCUGGUUAAAUGCGCUUUGGUGCCUCAUAAUCAUCUACUUCCUUCUCUCAGAAGCAUUUGACUGUUUUCAUUCAAGUACAAAUAGGGAGGGAACGGUACGGAACAGCAGCAGAUAACCAUAAGCAUUUGCGUGCACGAUCUACGUGAUAGAAGGGAGGAGGAGGAGGAUGGCGUCGAUCAUCGGUCGGUCUGAGAGGGGCAGAUGGUGUAACAAUUUCACGAUAAUCUGCCUUGCGGGAGAGAGAGAAAGAGAGCGAGCUGUGCUAAAAAUAACAGACGGGCCAAGCAGAAAUGGACAAUAUUGCUCAACAGCGCGGUGGACGUCACGCAGCGGUUUAGUAGCGCUCAGAAUGAUGCCGCAUUAUCGCAAGAAUGUUUAAACUGCACGGCAAAGAUUACAUAGAGCAUAGUUUAUUUAAAAAAAAAAGUGCUGCACGAAAGUGGCAAAAACCUCUGGGAUAGCUUCUGUUUUGAAUCUCUUCUAAAGGCAAAAAAACCCAAGAAUGUUAUAUUGAGCAGUGUAGAUGACAUAACGCAAGCUUAUUUUCAGAGCAAUCACUUUUCUAAUCUUAUCCGAGAAUUUAUAUUCCAAAAUAAAAUAAAAACAAUUGAAUU